GGUAUUUUUCGGGUGAUGCACCCCAGAAUCAGGCUCCCUCUUCCCUGGUACUGGGGUGUGUCACCCAAGAACCUCC
rfam:Myotis lucifugus cont2.2680, whole genome shotgun sequence.